AGCUUUUCGAAUCCGUGCAGAGGUUUCGUUAGACACCAGCCCAUCAGGGUUGAUCAGACUUUCGAGAUAAGUGAAAUU
rnacentral:pre_miRNA from 1 species